rnacentral:rRNA from 1 species
AGAGUUUGAUUAUGGCUCAGGAUGAACGCUGGCGGCGUGCAUAACACAUUCAAGUCGAACGGACAAGGUUUAGUAGCAAUACGGAACCGAGUUAGUGGCGGACGGGUGAGUAACGCGUGAGCAACCUGCCUUUGUGAGGGGGAUAACGACGGGAAACUGUCGCUAAUACCGCAUGAUGCAUAGAAGUCACAUGGCUUUUAUGCCAAAGAUUUAUCGCACAAAGAUGGGCUCGCGUCCGAUUAGAUAGUUGGUGAGGUAACGGCCCACCAAGUCGACGAUCGGUAGCCGGACUGAGAGGUUGAACGGCCACAUUGGAACUGAGAUACGGUCCAG